rnacentral:rRNA from 1 species
AGAACGAACGCUGGCGGCGUGGAUAAGACAUGCAAGUCGAACGCGACUUAUUUUGUUAGCAAUAACGAGAUAAGUUGAGUGGCGAAAGGGUGCGUAACACGUGGGAAUUUACCAAGAAGUGGGGAAUAGCUCGACGAAAGUCGAAUUAAUACCGCAUGUGAUCGAAAGAUCAAAGUCGGGGACCGCAAGGCCUGACGCUUUUUGAGAAGCCCGCGGCCCAUCAGCUAGUUGGCGAGGUAAAAGCUCACCAAGGCUAUGACGGGUAGCUGGUCUGAGAGGACGACCAGCCACACUGGAACUGAGACACGGUCCAGACACCUACGGGUGGCAGCAGUCGAGAAUUUUUCACAAUGGACGAAAGUCUGAUGGAGCGACGCCGCGUGGAGGAUGAAGGUUUUCGGAUUGUAAACUCCUGUCACUGCAGAACAAGGAUACGUCAGUUAACAGCCGACGUAUUUGAUGGUAUGCGGAGAGGAAGGGACGGCUAACUCUGUG